rnacentral:tRNA from 1 species
GCUUCCGUGGCGCAAUUGGUUAGCGCGUUCGGCUGUUAACCGAAAGGUUGGUGGUUCAAGCCCACUCGGAGCG